rnacentral:rRNA from 1 species
GACGAACGCUGGCGGCGUGCUUAACACAUGCAAGUCGAACGGUAAGGCCCCUUCGGGGGUACACGAGUGGCGAACGGGUGAGUAACACGUGAGCAACCUGCCCUUGACUCUGGAAUAACAGUUGGAAACAGCUGCUAAUACUGGAUAUUCAUCGUCUCCUUCCUGGGGGGUGGUGGAAAGCUCCGGCGGUCAGGGAUGGGCUCGCGGCCUAUCAGCUUGUUGGUGAGGUAAUGGCUCACCAAGGCUUCGACGGGUAGCCGGCCUGAGAGGGCGACCGGCCACACUGGGACUGAGAUACGGCCCAGACUCCUACGGGAGGCAGCAGUGGGGAAUAUUGCACAGUGGGCGCAAGCCUGAUGCAGCAACGCCGCGUGCGGGAUGGCGGCCUUCGGGUUGUAAACCGCUUUCAGUAGGGACGAAGGGUGACUGACGGUACCUACAGAAGAAGGACCGGCUAACUACGUG